UAUAUUUUAAAAUGACCAUUUCCAGUGGGGUGGCAGUAGGGGUGGCAAGGGCUCUGUUGGGGGUGGCAAAUGCCACCCCUGCCACCCCUCUGGCUCCGCCACUGCUGGAAAUGUUCAAGU